rnacentral:rRNA from 1 species
CAGUCGCCGCGGGAAUACAGAGGAUGCAAGCGUUAUCCGGAAUUAUUGGGCGUAAAGGGCUCGCAGGCGGUUUCUUAAGUCUGAUGUGAAAGCCCCCGGCUCAACCGGGGAGGGUCAUUGGAAACUGGGAAACUUGAGUGCAGAAGAGGAGAGUGGAAUUCCACGUGUAGCGGUGAAAUGCGCAGAGAUGUGGAGGAACACCAGUGGCGAAGGCGACUCUCUGGUCUGUAACUGACGCUGAGGAGCGAAAGCGUGGGGAGCGAACAGGAUUAGAUACCCCCGUAGUCCCUGUCUCUUAUAC